GUCGAUGAAGAGUGCAGCCGACUGUGUGAAUUAAUGUGAAUCGCAGACUGAUUUGAACAUCGACACUUCGAACGCAUCUAGA
rnacentral:rRNA from 1 species